rnacentral:tRNA from 1 species
GCCUGGGUGGCUCAGUCAGUUAAGCAUCUGACUUCAGCUCAGGUCAUGAUCUCACAGUUUGUGAGUUCGAGCCCCACGUCAGGCU